rnacentral:rRNA from 1 species
AGCUCCAAUAGCGUAUAUUAAAGUUGUUGCAGUUAAAAAGCUCGUAGUUGAACCUUGGGCCUGGCUGGCCGGUCCGCCUCACCGCGUGUACUGGUCCGGCCGGGCCUUUCCUUCUGGGGAACCUCAUGCCCUUCACUGGGCGUGUUGGGGAACCAGGACUUUUACUUUGAAAAAUUAGAGUGUUCAAAGCAGGCCUUUGCUCGAAUACAUUAGCAUGGAAUAAUAGAAUAGGACGUGUGGUUCUAUUUUGUUGGUUUCUAGGACCGCCGUAAUGAUUAAUAGGGAUAGUCGGGGGCAUCAGUAUUCAAUCGUCAGAGGUGAAAUUCUUGGAUUGAUUGAAGACUAACUACUGCGAAAGCAUUUGCCAAGGAUGUUUCA